rnacentral:sRNA from 1 species
AUCUUUGUCACUCUCGCUCUCAUCUCCAUAUUCUUCUUCUUCUUCUUAAAUUAUUUCUCGCUUUUGACUUUGUUGGCCUGAAACCCCAAACUAUCUUCGACGCCCGGUUCUUUGCCAUUCAAUUGUGUCAGCCUCCUCCCACUUUAUCCUUCUCGUUUUCAUCCGCUAGUACAAUUUUGUUAUGGGUCAGAUUUACGAACACUUGGAUUUGAUUUUGUAGGGUUGAGUUGAUCGAUUUAGGCUAGACUGAUUUCUUAGAAGCUUUUGGCCGAAGUUAUGAUAAUGCCCUCUAGGUGUUUGACGAAUUGCCUCAUUAAUAGUUUGCUUGGUUUUUUGACAUUGUUUGGCGUUUUGUAGGCUGAUUCAUAUAAUGAUUGUAUUGCUUAAUUCUUGAAAGCUGGUUAAUACACAUAAUGUCUUGGUCUUGUUUGUGUUGUACUCCAGUUUAUCUCUCCGUCAUCUUCGAAUUAAUGACCGCGAAGGUGAUUAUAAUUUCGUUCUCUUUCUCAUUUUGUUGCUUACUUUAUUGGGGUUUUUUCAUUUUUUUAAGUACUCCUUCCGUACUUUUAUAAAUGAUGUUAUAAGCUUUUAUUUUUGUUCUUAAAUAUAUGAUGUUUUAAAU